rnacentral:rRNA from 1 species
CAGUCGCCGCGGUAAUACAGAGGGUGCGAGCGUUAAUCGGAUUUACUGGGCGUAAAGCGUGCGUAGGCGGCUUCUUAAGUCGGAUGUGAAAUCCCUGAGCUUAACUUAGGAAUUGCAUUCGAUACUGGGAAGCUAGAGUAUGGGAGAGGAUGGUAGAAUUCCAGGUGUAGCGGUGAAAUGCGUAGAGAUCUGGAGGAAUACCGAUGGAGAAGGCAGCCAUCUGGCCUAAUACUGACGCUGAGGUACGAAAGCAUGGGGAGCAAACAGGAUUAGAUACCCGCGUAGUCCCUGUCUCUUAUAC